AAGAGAGUCCUAUCCUGAUAUCAGAGCAAAGUACAAGUCGAUAUACAACGAGUAUCCAAUCCGAGUCAAAAUCCAAAGUGUAUACAAACCAUGAUCACAGCAAAAAGAGAAGUAACACUACUAUCAUCUCAACCCCGAAAGUAAAUAUACAUCACGGGUGUACAAAAAGAAUAGAUACAAUGGUGGUCUCUCUAUAUAUAUAUGGACAUCACCCUCGGCCGUAGCCCGAGUAGCAAGGUGAUCGACUAGCACGCUCCUAGUAGUCCCUAGCUAGGCGCGACUCCCUUGCCACGAUCCCUAGCCUCUCCUGUAACAGGCUCUGUAAAAACAACCACCAAAAGGGCGUGAGAACUAUUAACAAUAGUUCCCAGUGGGUAAGCCGCCAGCCUCGGCGAAUUACACCACUAGGCUCGAGAUGUACAGAAUGGAAAUAAAAGCAGUAAUUUGCAUGAUAUAUUUUCAAUGCUAACAAUUCAUAAGCCAAUGUUAACAAAUAAUGAACAUGUAAACAACAUGUGAUCAUAGCAUCAACAGUAAUGAAUUAACUGAAUGAUAGAAGCAUGGCUACUACUAUAAGCAUAAA
rnacentral:lncRNA from 1 species